AUAUAACUCAUGCAAGAUCGUGACGAGACCUGAACGCACGAGCUUGCUCCCUUAGGUCAGCGGCGGACGGGUGAGUAACACGUGGGUAACCUGCCUGUAAGACUGGGAUAACUCCGGGAAACCGGGGCUAAUACCGGAUGCUUGAUUGAACCGCAUGGUUCAAUCAUAAAAGGUGGCUUUUAGCUACCACUUGCAGAUGGACCCGCGGCGCAAUAGCUAGUUGGUGAGGUAACGGCUCACCAAGGCGACCAUGCGUAGCCCACCUGAGAGGGUGAUCGGCCACACUGGGACUGAGACACGGCCCAGACUCCUACGGGAGGCAGCAGUAGGGAAUCUUCCGCAAUGGACGAAAGUCUGACGGAGCAACGCCGCGUGAGUGAUGAAGGUUUUCGGAUCGUAAAACUCUGUUGUUAGGGAAGAACAAGUACCGUUCGAAUAGGGCGGUACCUUGACGGUACCUAACCAGAAAGCCACGGCUAACUACGUGCCAGCAGCCGCGGUAAUACGUAGGUGGCAAGCGUUGUCCGGAAUUAUUGGGCGUAAAGCGCGCGCAGGCGGUUUCUUAAGUCUGAUGUGAAAGCCCCCGGCUCAACCGGGGAGGGUCAUUGGAAACUGGGGAACUUGAGUGCAGAAGAGGAGAGUGGAAUUCCACGUGUAGCGGUGAAAUGCGUAGAGAUGUGGAGGAACACCAGUGGCGAAGGCGACUCUCUGGUCUGUAACUGACGCUGAGGCGCGAAAGCGUGGGGAGCGAACAGGAUUAGAUACCCUGGUAGUCCACGCCGUAACGAUGAGUGCUAAGUGUUAGAGGGUUCCGCCCUUUAGUGCUGCAGCAACGCAUUAGCACUCCGCCUGGGGAGUACGGUCGCAGACUGAACUCAAAGGAUUGACGGGGGCCGCACAGCGGUGGAGCAUGUGGUUAAUUCGAAGCACGCGAAAACCUUACAGGUCUUGACUCCUCUGACACCCUAGAGAUAGGCUUCCCUUCGGGGCAAAUGACAGUGGUGCAUGGUUGCGUCACCUCCGGCCUGAGAUGUUGGGUUAAUCCCGAACGAGCGCACCCUUGAUUUAUUGCCACAUUCAUUGGGCCCCUAAGGGGAUGCC
rnacentral:rRNA from 1 species